CGCUUUGUGCAAUGGUAGUAUCAUAGCCAAGAGGUUUAUCCCAAGGCACGAUUAUUGCUAAAUGAAAUCCCCAGGCCUGUGUGUUCAGACCGCAGUCCUGCUACAGUUUUGCCUCAGUUCACAAACU
rnacentral:snRNA from 1 species